rnacentral:rRNA from 1 species
GAUUGAACGCUGGCGGCAGGCCUAACACAUGCAAGUCGAGCGGAUGAAGGGAGCUUGCUCCUGGAUUCAGCGGCGGACGGGUGAGUAAUGCCUAGGAAUCUGCCUGGUAGUGGGGGAUAACGUCCGGAAACGGGCGCUAAUACCGCAUACGUCCUGAGGGAGAAAGUGGGGGAUCUUCGGACCUCACGCUAUCAGAUGAGCCUAGGUCGGAUUAGCUAGUUGGUGGGGUAAAGGCCUACCAAGGCGACGAUCCGUAACUGGUCUGAGAGGAUGAUCAGUCACACUGGAACUGAGACACGGUCCAGACUCCUACGGGAGGCAGCAGUGGGGAAUAUUGGACAAUGGGCGAAAGCCUGAUCCAGCCAUGCCGCGUGUGUGAAGAAGGUCUUCGGAUUGUAAAGCACUUUAAGUUGGGAGGAAGGGCAGUAAGUUAAUACCUUGCUGUUUUGACGUUACCAACAGAAUAAGCACCGGCUAACUUCGUG